UACGUAGGUGGCAAGCGUUGUCCGGAUUUACUGGGCGUAAAGAGCGCGCAGGCGGUCGUUCAAGUCGCGUGUGAAAGCCCCCGGCUCAACCGAGGACGUGCAUCCGAAACUGUUGUGCUCGAGUAUGGAAGAGGGUCGCGGAAUUCUCGGUGUAGAGGUGAAAUUCGUAGAUAUCGGGAGGAACACCAGUGGCGAAGGCGGCGACCUGGGCCAAUACUGACGCUGAGGUGCGAAAGCGUGGGGAGCAAACAGG
rnacentral:rRNA from 1 species